UCCCAGGUGGCUCAGUGGCUAAGAGGGAUGACUUUGGAGCAAAAGGUCCGGGGUUCGAACCCCUGUGCGGGCA